UACAGAGGUCCCAAGCGUUGUUCGGAUUCACUGGGCGUAAAGGGUGCGUAGGUGGCCAGGUAAGUUUGGUGUGAAAGCUCGGAGCUUAACUCCGAAAAGUCAUUGAAUACUAUCUGGCUGGAGGGUCGGAGGGGAGACUGGAAUUCUCGGUGUAGCAGUGAAAUGCGUAGAUAUCGAGAGGAACACCAGUGGCGAAGGCGAGUCUCUGGACGACACCCGACACUGAGGCACGAAAGCUAGGGGAGCAAACAGG
rnacentral:rRNA from 1 species